rnacentral:misc_RNA from 1 species
AACUAUCAAAACACUUUUGCUUUUGUCGAAGUGUUUUGGACUUUGGGAGUGCUGGUCUCUCUUUUUGAGCCGGCUCUCCUCAAAAGCAUUGCUUUGGAGACCAUCAGCGUGAUAAUUUUAUGUUUAUGCCGCUGGCUUCUCCUUCUGUCCC